GAUGAACGCUGGCGGCGUGCCUAAUACAUGCAAGUCGAGCGAACGGACGAGAAGCUUGCUUCUCUGAUGUUAGCGGCGGACGGGUGAGUAACACGUGGAUAACCUACCUAUAAGACUUGGAUAACUUCGGGAAACCGUAGCUAAUACCGGAUAAUAUUUUGAACCGCAUGGUUCAAAAGUGAAAGACGGUCUUGCUGUCACUUAUAGAUGGAUCCGCGCUGCAUUAGCUAGUUGGUAAGGUAACGGCUUACCAAGGCAACGAUGCAUAGCCGACCUGAGAGGGUGAUCGGCCACACUGGAACUGAGACACGGUCCAGACUCCUACGGGAGGCUGCAGUAGGGAAUCUUCCGCAAUGGGCGAAAGCCUGACGGAGCAACGCCGCGUGAGUGAUGAAGGUCUUCGGAUCGUAAAACUCUGUUAUUAGGGAAGAACAUAUGUGUAAGUAACUGUGCACAUCUUGACGGUACCUAAUCAGAAAGCCACGGCUAACUACGUG
rnacentral:rRNA from 1 species